GGGUAGAGGAGGGAUGAGGGAGCUGCGCUCCUUGAGGGAAGCGUCGCCAUAAUACCCACCGGGGCUGGAGUGGUCUUCCAGCAUGGGGAGCCGCCAGCACCCCGAUCCUGUGGGACACGGGCUGUGCCGGGCCCUGGUUGAGCGUCCCCGAAAGAAGCAGAGGCCGCCCCUCCCUCACCAAGGGGAGCUUUUCUAGGAACAGGGUUUCCCCUAAAACCGUGCAGUGCUUGGUAGGACAUCAAACACCACGGCUGGUCCUGUGUCUGUCCACACAGAGGGGCUGACAUGCAACUGUUCAGGUGACCAGUUUAUUCCUCCUUUCUGAAACACUGCAAGGAGAGUACACCCAAGAGGCUUCCCUCUAUCAUCAAGGUAAGAGAAUAUUAUCUUCCUAAUGAGUAAUUUUCCAACUGUUUGUACCCUAGAUAAG
rnacentral:lncRNA from 1 species